AUGGCCGGCGGCGAGGCAGCAGCACCGUUGCUGGAGAAGAAGGAGGCGGUCUACCGUGAAGGGUGCCCGGGAUGCGCCGUGGAGCGGAGGAAGGCGCUGAACCCCGGCGUCCCCUACAAGGAGUUCUUCCACAUCUGGACCAUCAUCCUCGCCUCAUGUUUGCCAGUAUCAUCACUAUUCCCCUUCUUGUAUUUCAUGAUACGAGACUUGCACAUUGCCAAAACAGUAGAGGACAUUGGAUUCUAUGCUGGGUUUGUAGGCACCUCCUAUAUGCUUGGUAGAACUUUAACCUCCACUGCUUGGGGGAUGGUAGCAGACCGCAUUGGGAGAAAGCCAGUUAUUGUGCUUGGAAUUUUCUCCGUGAUUCUAUUCAGUGCUUUGUUUGGACUAAGUGUGCAUUACUGGAUGGCAAUAUCUACACGAUUCCUUCUUGGUUCUUUGAAUGGCAUAAUUGGACCUAUAAGAGCUUAUGCUAUUGAAGUUUGUCGACCAGAGCACCACGCUAUUGCAUUAUCACUUGUUAGCACAGCAUGGGCAAUAGGUCUCAUUGUAGGACCAACGAUUGGCGGAUAUCUUGCACAGCCUACAGAAAAAUAUCCAAAGUUAUUUCCCGUCGACUCAUUAUUCGGAAGGUUCCCAUAUUUCUUACCUUGUCUGUGUAUAUCAGUCUUCAGCUUUCUCGUUCUAAUAAGCUGCAUUUGGCUCCCAGAGACACUACAUAACCACAACACUGACAAAAAGGAAGAUCAAGCAAGUGAAUCUUUGACUGUAAUUUUUUCUAAUUCAGAAGAGAUUGUUGAGCAUAAUAUUACUUCAACAACGAAAAACAAUGUAUUGAAGAACUGGCCAUUGAUGUCAUCUAUUAUUCUGUUCUGUAUCGUGUCCUUUGAUGACAUGGCAUAUUCAGAGAUAUUCUCCUUAUGGGCUGAAAGUGACAGAAAGUAUGGUGGACUAAGUUUCUCGUCUGAGGAUGUUGGUCAAGUUCUUGCAAUUACAGGUGUUAGCAUUCUUGUAUACCAAACAUUUAUUUUCCCACGUAUUAACAGAGUUUUGGGACCAAUCAAUACUUCUCGUGUUGCAAUUAGUCUGUCUGUGGUGCUUCUGUUUACAUAUGCACCAAUCACACAUCUCUCAAGACCUUGGUCGUCAAUAGCAGUAAACAUCGCAUCGAUUCUUAAAAAUAAUUUUCUCAUUACCAUUGUUACUAGUUCUUUCAUUCUUCAGAAUAAUUCUGUGACUCAAGGUCAAAGAGCAACUGCAAAUGGCUUAGGCACCACUUUAAUGUCCUUUUGUAAAACAUUCGCUCCAGCAGGAGCUGGAAUUGUGUUUUCAUGGGCACAGAAACGCCAACAUGUUUUCUUUUUUCCAGGUGACCAGAUGUUGUUUUUUCUUUUGGCCAUUGUCGAGCUUGUGGGACUUGUUUGGACAUUCAAGCCGUUUCUUGUUGUGCCCGAUCAGUUUUCUUCAAAUUAG
rnacentral:rRNA from 1 species